CGCGGCCUAUCAGCUUGUUGGUGGGGUAAUGGCCUACCAAGGCGACGACGGGUAGCCGGCCUGAGAGGGCGACCGGCCACACUGGGACUGAGACACGGCCCAGACUCCUACGGGAGGCAGCAGUGAGGAAUAUUGCGCAAUGGGCGAAAGCCUGACGCAGCGACGCCGCGUGAGGGAUGAAGGCCUUCGGGUUGUAAACCUCUUUCAGCAGGGAAGAAGCGAAAGUGACGGUACCUGCAGAAGAAGCACCGGCUAACUACGUGCCAGCAGCCGCGGUAAUACGUAGGGUGCAAGCGUUGUCCGGAAUUAUUGGGCGUAAAGAGCUCGUAGGCGGUCUGUCGCGUCUGCUGUGAAAACUCGGGGCUUAACCCCGGGCCUGCAGUGGGUACGGGCAGACUAGAGUGUGGUAGGGGAGACUGGAAUUCCUGGUGUAGCGGUGAAAUGCGCAGAUAUCAGGAGGAACACCGGUGGCGAAGGCGGGUCUCUGGGCCAUAACUGACGCUGAGGAGCGAAAGCGUGGGGAGCGAACAGGAUUAGAUACCCUGGUAGUCCACGCCGUAAACGUUGGGCGCUAGGUGUGGGGCUCUUUCCAUGGGUUCCGUGCCGCAGCUAACGCAUUAAGCGCCCCGCCUGGGGAGUACGG
rnacentral:rRNA from 1 species